GAUGAACGCUGACCGAAUGCUUAACACAUGCAAGUCCACUUGAAUUUGGGUUUUUAACUUCGGUUUGGGUGGCGGACGGGUGAGUAACGCGUAAAGAACUUGCCUCACAGCUAGGGACAACAUUUGGAAACGAAUGCUAAUACCUAAUAUUAUGAUAAUAGGGCAUCCUAUAAUUAUGAAAGCUAUAAGCGCUGUGAGAGAGCUUUGCGUCCCAUUAGCUAGUUGGAGAGGUAACGGCUCACCAAGGCGAUGAUGGGUAGCCGGCCUGAGAGGGUGAUCGGCCACAAGGGGACUGAGACACGGCCCUUACUCCUACGGGAGGCAGCAGUGGGGAAUAUUGGACAAUGGACCAAGAGUCUGAUCCAGCAAUUCUGUGUGCACGAUGAAGUUUUUCGGAAUGUAAAGUGCUUUCAGUUGGGAAGAAAGAAAUGACGGUACCAACAGAAGAAGUGACGGCUAAAUACGUG
rnacentral:rRNA from 1 species